GCGGGUGUGAUGUAGUGGCUAGCAUCUGAGUCUGCCAGUCUCAGCGCAUGGGUUCGAGUCCCAUCAUCCGCUCUA
rnacentral:tRNA from 2 species